GAUGAACGCUGGCGGCGUGCCUAAUACAUGCAAGUCGAGCGAACAGACGAGGAGCUUGCUCCUCUGACGUUAGCGGCGGACGGGUGAGUAACACGUGGAUAACCUACCUAUAAGACUGGGAUAACUUCGGGAAACCGGAGCUAAUACCGGAUAAUAUUUUGAACCGCAUGGUUCAAUAGUGAAAGACGGUUUUGCUGUCACUUAUAGAUGGAUCCGCGCCGCAUUAGCUAGUUGGUAAGGUAACGGCUUACCAAGGCGACGAUGCGUAGCCGACCUGAGAGGGUGAUCGGCCACACUGGAACUGAGACACGGUCCAGACUCCUACGGGAGGCAGCAGUAGGGAAUCUUCCGCAAUGGGCGAAAGCCUGACGGAGCAACGCCGCGUGAGUGAUGAAGGUCUUCGGAUCGUAAAACUCUGUUAUUAGGGAAGAACAAAUGUGUAAGUAACUAUGCACGUCUUGACGGUACCUAAUCAGAAAGCCACGGCUAACUACGUG
rnacentral:rRNA from 1 species